CCGGUACUCCCUUCAUCCGAAAAUACUUGUUCUCGAAAUGGUUGUAUCUAGACUUAUUUUAGUUAUAGAUAUAUCUAUUUUAUCUAUUUUUAUGACAAGUAUUUUCAUACGGAGGGAGUACUAC
rnacentral:pre_miRNA from 1 species